GGUUGUUUUAUAAGCCAUGCAAUAUUCUGUUUCUCUUUGCAUACAAUAAGUACUGUGACAAUUGUGUUAAUAUUGGAUUAGGUCAAUGGAAGGUUAGAUGGUUGGUUAAGAGACUUGAUGUGUUGGUUGGUCAGAUGGCAAAGUGGUAAUCCACUUGUCUUUCACCAAGGUGACCGAAGGUUUGAUUCUUUAAUUUGACUUAAAAAGGUAUGGGGUUUUUCCACAGGUUUUCUGUUUCCUCUCAAAGUAAGACCUCUCACACUCUGCCAUCUCGAGUCUGUAGUAUGUUGGGAUGAAAGGCUACGAAGUUUGUAAACUAAAUCACCAUGACCGACUUUCAAGGUCACUGUGAUCAUAUUCUUCUACCAAACUCAUUUAAUUAUUAAUCUGAGUGGCCCCUAGUUUGUUCAUUUCACCUACACAUAUGUAUUGUAAAGAAGUUGUAUGGUGUUUGGGAGGAAGAUGAAAGUCACAAAAAUAAACCCUACACAACAUUUUGUUUCUUUACAAGCGGCAGAUCAGCUGAGUAAUAUAGGUCCACUGAGUCUCUCAUUCAUUAAGGAGGUCAACUAAAUACUUUAACAAGGUUUUUCAAAUUCUUAAAAAUGUACAUCUCCCCCAGAAAGAUAAUUUGGCAGAAAUUCCCUUAGAUAUUCCAUUCUCCUUCCAUUUUUUUUAGUUGUAUAAAUCCGUAAAAACGUAAUAUAAACUGCUUUUCCUUGACUGAUACAAAAGGCUAGCAAUGUUAAUAAGUGAUUUUGAGCAUACAAGCUUAACAAUCACAAAUAAAAGAUCUGUCAAAUAGGCAUGCCUUUCAACAUGUUAUAUUAUACAGCAGAACUGUUCUGUGAAAAUCUUUAAGUAUCAUUGCUGUAUUUAUACGUAGUAUAAUCAAGCGUGUAUAUAGUGUUGAUGUGUUAUACCCAUGUUUUAUGAUAUAUCAAAAUCAUAUAUUAAGUCCUGUUUGAUCUGUUUCUUUAAAUAGUUCAGCUGUUGGUACCUGUUGUGUAGAGGUACCUGUAUUAUGUAGAAGUAGGUCAUAUUACAAAUGAAAUUAUAAUUAUCUGUCUAGGUACAUUAUGUCAUUAAUUUUCAAUAUUUUUUGUUGUCUCUUCAUUCGGAAAAGUAGAUAGUGAAAUGUGUCGCCAAGGUGCUCUUGUAGGGUUAUAGUAAUAUAAGUAGAGACAGGUACUCUUUUGAUUAUAAAGGUAUGAGACAGGUACUCUUUUGAUUAUAAAGGUAUGAGACAGUACUCUAUUGAUUAUAUAGGUAGAGACAGGUACUCUUUUGAUUAUAAAGGCAGAGACAGUACUCUAUUGAUUAUAUAGGUAGAGACAGUACUCUAUUGAUUAUAAAGGCAGAGACAGUACUCUGUUGAUUAUAAAGGUAGAGACAGUACUCUAUUGAUUAUAUAGGUAGAGACAGUACUCUAUUGAUUAUAUAGGUAGAGACAGGUACUCUAUUGAUUAUAUAGGUAGAGACAGUACUCUAUUGAUUAUAUAGGUAGAGACAGGUACUCUUUUGAUUAUAUAGGUAGAGACAGGUACUCUAUUGAUUAUAAAGGUAGAGACAGUUACUCUAUUGAUUAUAUAGGUAGAGACAGGUACUCUUUUGAUUAUAUAGGUAGAGACAGUACUCUUUUGAUUAUAUAGGCAGAGACAGUACUCUGUUGAUUAUAUAGGCAGAGACAGUACUCUAUUGAUUAUAUAGGCAGAGACAGUACUCUAUUGAUUAUAUAGGUAGAGACAGUACUCUAUUGAUUAUAUAGGUAGAUACAGGUAGUCUGUUGCCUUAUUUUCCUACCAGGAAGCUAUUUUGAUUAAUGCCUAUUCCGUAUUUUACUACAUACCAGGGUACUUAAAUUCAUAGCCUUUUUCACCUGUCAAAUCUAUUACAGAGAUCAAGUGAAUAUGUGGAAAGAUUGUAUUUAUUUUUUACUUAAUAUGUGUUGUUUGUCUAGCCAACCAGAAUCUCCUUCCUGGCUUAUAUUCUUAAUAACAUCAUAAAACAUUUAACUGUCAAUGUGAUAUUUCCAAGAAUUGGCCCUAGGAAAUGUAUGCUUAUUGAAAUUUUAAAUAAAUAUCUGUUUUUAUUUACGCAGUUAUAAGAAUGACAGUUUGAAUAGACGUACUUAAUACAAAAUAACAUAGGUUGUUAAUUUCUUCCUGUAUAUAGAAAUGGUUCUAAACCUUUCCGUUAUCGUAGGCAGUGUGUCAUCACAACAGUGGACAGAAAUGUACCGUACAUGAUAUAUGUGGUAUUACCAGACGUUCUGAAACCUUAAAACUUCCUUGAAAAAUUCAUCUUUUUGUAGAUGAAAAAUGUCAACAAUUUAUUUAAUCAGAUAUUAAUUCCUACUUGUAGGUAAAAUUUUGUGCAAUAUUUACACAUUGGCAACUUACAUUGUUUGAUUUCUUUAUAACUGAUGCCAUAUUUGCUGUAUUUCUGUAAAAGUUUUAAAUCAAGUUAACAUUGGUUGUUUUCUACACUUGAUAACUGAUGAUAGAUCAUUUUGUAAUGUUAUUAUAAUUGUGAUAAAAACAUAUUUUUACAUUUAUCACUAGUCCUCCACCUCAGGGUUGUGGGUUUGAGGAAUAAAUAGGGCAGGUACUGAUCAUAGGUCACCGGUUUUUCUACAAGGAAGAUCUGACUCUCCGCCUCCUCCCAAACAAUCAUUCAGUGACUGAGGAAGUUAAUAGGACAUAGGACAACAAUAAAUCAAAUAUAAAUCUUCAGUGAUGUAAAAGUUUUUCUGUGAUUUGAUAAAAUGUUAUCACAAUUCAAAAUCUGGUACAGUACGACAGAUUUGUUUCAAACUCCAGAAGGCACAAGAUAAAAUUUUACAAAAAGAAUAUUUGCAACGAACCGCUAGUGACCAACAGGAAUUUAUUUCACCUCUGGAGGAUUAUAACAUAUCUAUGGUAAAAUUCUCUUAUCAUACAACAUGGAAUAUUGGAAAUAAGUAUUGGUGGCAAACCUUGGAAGACAAGAGAGUAAUUUUCUACAUUAAAAUAAAUCCCUUGUUUUGUAUAAUGGAUUCUUAAUGUUGAAAUAUGUCGGUAAGGACCACUGGAGGUCAAGUUUCGAGACCGUUUAAAGAGUAAGAUUAAAGUGAGUUUAUUUCAUGCUAGACAGUAAUACUCUAUUGUGAACAAUAAGAGACUGCCAAAACUUCAUUUCUACAUUACACCCAUGUUGAAAAGCAACACAGAGAACUGAAAUAGUUAACAGGCAAUCACAGAGGGCCUCAGGAGGAAUUAGUGAUCUAUAGUAUAUCUUACAGUUUGUAAUAUAAGAUAGUAAUUCUCUUUAGCAAUGUCAAUAGGAUACUAAUUAAUUCUCUACAGCAAAACAUAUUCUCCACCAGUGGAGACUUUUUCAUAACAAAAGACAGAAAAUGUAAGAAAGUGGACCUCGGUUAUGAAAUAUGUUUUUAAAUGAACCGUAAAGACAUAAGAAACGAUGAUCUAUAUAUACUUAUGAAACUACGGCGUCUCUCUUUCUGAUAUAUUGUUAUAUACCUGAACAUUUGUGAAGCAUUUUGACUCAAUGAAAGGAAUUGUGACUUUCGUUACAUUUAAUAUAAUCUUUUAAACAUGUUUUUCAAGAUAAAUACUUCUACUGUAUAUUUAAGUUUCAUAUCUACAUUAUAUCAUGUUUUACUGUGUAUUUAAAACCCUAGUAUAUGUUAUGCUGUAUGUAAAUUUGUUUUCAGCAUGAUGCACUAUUUGUCUCAUAUACCUUUACAGUGAACAUGCUGUGGUGAUUUAUUGUGUUGUAAUCAUUCAUAUUUGUUUUUGUGAAUUAAGCAACAAAAAAGUAGACAUAAUUUUACAUUUUGACCAAAACUUUUUUAUAUCGACUGAAAUGAAACUGGCAGUAAGUAAGUAAAACUUAUUUAAAAGUCUACAUCGUAACUGCAGCACAUAGGUACUUCUCUCUGUCUAGGAUCCAUAUAUAUAUAGAGUUAUUUUCCAUUAAUGACAAAUUUUUACUGAAUCUCAUGUAUAUAGUGAUGUAGAGUUCUAAGCGAGUAUAAAUUGAUAUUUGUCUCUCAGAAUUAACGUAAAUGAAAGUAUACCUUUCAUAAAUAAUUGUUUUUGAGGAAAUGUUUAAAUAAUACACUUUUAAGGCCAUCAAUUCGAAUACCAGGUACGUUUUUUUAGUUUCACAUAAUUUUCAUUCAGAAUAGUAUUUUCAGGUUGUGUUUAAGCACAGUUUUAAAUAAAGGGGAUAAAACUGUUGUAAUAGUCUCUUGAAAAAUAACUGGUUAUUUCAAGAAAGAUACAUACACCAAAAUAUUUUUUAAAUUUUUUAUUCUGUUUGUUUAAUAUACGGUUAUGUUUUGUACUUAAGUUGACACGAUUAAAUGUCCAAAGUGUAAAAUACAGCUGAUUUAACUACGCAAAAUUGUUGUACUAUUAUGGUGUUGUCAAGCACACUGCUUAUCUAUAUAUAGAAUUGAGGAAGUACAUUGGCUCAACAUUCAGUGACUCACUAAGGAUAAACAUCUAUACAAUUUACCUAUUUCAUCAUGCAGUGCUACAAAUACCACACUGUAAAUUUUUAUACAUAUAAGUGAUUGAAAAUUAUUGUAGGUUGUGAUUGAAUGAUAUAGAUGUUAACUGCUAUUAGUGCUUAUCAAAAUAUGUAUUUAUAUGCAGAACGUUAAAGGUGUUUGCAUGCUAUACUGUUUGAAAUGUAUUAGAUUUAGCAUAGGCUGAAUUAUAGUGUAGAAAAGUUUCAUAUUUAUAUAGUUUUGAAAAUAGUUUAAUUUCUCACCAUACUUCAGUGUAUUGGAAUAAAUGUGAUAAUGUGUUCCA